GUGGCAUGAAAGACGAGUCUAUGGAGCAUGUGGUCCUAAGAUGUCCUAGGGCGAGGAUUAUUUGGAGACAGGCGAGUGGUUAUCCAUAGGAUACGAGCACUAAUUCAUGAUUGAUAUCUUUUCUUGACUUGAUCCAUCAGAGCAUGACUGACAGGACAUCUAUGGUUGGUGGAUGGAUAGCUUAUAUUGCUUACCAAAUCUGGUUGUUUUGCCUUAUCUUUGAUGAUAAGUUGAUUCCUACUCGUCGAGUUUUUGAGAGAUGGAUUUGUUUGGCUCAGAAGUACUAUCAGUUUGACACUGUCAUUUCGUCCCU
rnacentral:lncRNA from 1 species